AUGUACGAUCUCUACAUUGGUGAUGUCCGUCCCACCCUGACGGUGCUGCCCCCCUCCAGUGAGGAGCUGGACCAGGGCAAGGCCACGCUCAUAUGUCUGGCCAACAAGGGCUUCCCCUCAGACUGGACCCGUUUAUCCACGUUCAUUUUUGGUGGAGGAACCAGACUGGAUGUUGGAAGUGAUGUCCGUCCCACCCUGACGGUGCUGCCCCCCUCCAGUGAGGAGCUGAAGCAGGGCAAGGCCACACUCAUAUGUCUGGCCAACAAGGGCUUCCCCUCAGACUGGAGUCUGGCCUGGAAGGUGGACGGCAGCAGCAGCAGCUGGGAGCAGAGCAGGAGCCCCGCGGUGCUGCAGAAGGACGGCCUCUACAGCUGGAGCAGCACCCUGAGGCUCACUGCAGACCAGUGGAGGAAGGUGGGCUCUGUGACCUGUGAGGCCACCGAGGGCUGUAAGGCUCUGUCAGAGACACUGAGGAGAGACCAGUGUUCCAAGUCCUGAUCAGACUCACCGAUACUCUGCUACUGGUUUUACUCUGCUAAUGCUCUCACUCUGAUCUCUGCUACUCUCUUGUUUUUUUCCCUCUCUCUCUCUUUAAAUGUUGCAGUAGUGAUGUUUCUUGCUCAGUGAUUUCAAUAUUUCAAGAAAAUAAAGACGUG